rnacentral:snRNA from 1 species
GUACUUCCUUCAGCAGUACACAUACUAAAAUUGGAAUAAUACAGACAAGAUUAGCAUGGCCCCUACACGAGGAUGACAUGCAAAUAAUGCAAUCUACCUUGAGAUCUU